UACAGAGGGUGCAAGCGUUGUUCGGAAUUACUGGGCGUAAAGCGCGUGUAGGCGGCUUAUCAAGUCCUGUGUGAAAGCCCCUGGGCUCAACCCAGGAAGUGCGCAGGAUACUGAUGAGCUGGAGUGGCGGAGAGGAUGGCGGAAUUCCCGGUGUAGAGGUGAAAUUCGUAGAUAUCGGGAGGAACACCUGUGGCGAAGGCGGCCAUCUGGACGUUCACUGACGCUGAGACGCGAAAAGCGUGGGUAGCAAACAGGG
rnacentral:rRNA from 1 species